rnacentral:lncRNA from 1 species
AUAACACCCAAUUAAUAAUUGGGUCCCAAUACAUAACCAUAAGUAUAUUCUUUGGGUAAUUACUACAUUACCCCUAACUUGGCUUAUUCAAGCCCAAGGCCCAAUCCAUAGGCCCAAAGUUAAUUAGAAAUCAAAGCCCAACACAUGGCCCAAUUUUCCAAAUUGGGCCUAGGCCUAUACAUGGUCUCAUUCUAAGGCCCAACAUCAUAUAAUCAUUAAGUUCCAAACUAUGUCGCAUCUAUGGCCCAAUUUUCCAAAUUGGGCCCAAGCUCCUUACAUGGGCCUUACCCUAAGCCCAUUAAAUUACUCUAGACCAUUUUCUUAAUCAUGGAUAGUCNUCUUUGGGUAAUUACUACAUUACCCCUAACUUGGCUUAUUCAAGCCCAAGGCCCAAUCCAUAGGCCCAAAGUCAAUUAGAAAUCAAAGCCCAACACAUGGCCCAAUUUUCCAAAUUGGGCCUAGGCCUAUACAUGUUCUCAUUCUAAGGCCUAACAUCAUAUAAUCAUUAAGUCCCAAACUAUGUCGCAGCUAUGGCCCAAUUUUCCAAAUUGGGCCCAAGCUCCUUACAUGGGCCUUACCCUAAGCCUAUUAAAUUACUCUAGACCAUUUUCUUGAUCUUGGAUAGUCCAUUUAAUAAUCCAAUCAUCAAGGCCCAAUAGAAAGGCCAAACAAUAAACCCAAGUGAAAUUAGGGUUUCACAUAAAAUGAUGAUUAGGGUUAAGUUUCCUACUUAACCCAUUAAGGAUUUAACCCAUUAAGGACUUAAUCCAUUAAGUUCAAUAUUGCUUAUAUUAAUCUUUACCAAUGAUUAUUAUUUAAUAUCUCAAGUUAUUAAAUAAUUCUCGUGAGUGUGACCCGAUUAAUUCUUACAGUUAGGGUUUCAUUGGCAUUAGGGUUUUCCAAUCCAAAUAUUAGCCCAUUUAUCAAUUUAUUGGACUUUUAGGUUAUUUAGGGCUUUAUUAGGCCUAUCAAGCUCACUAGAAUGUCAUCAAGCCCAUUAGGGUUUUAUUGGGUCAAUUAUAGUCUAUUAGACUCAUUAGGGUUUUCACUAAGCCCAUUUGGCUUCAUUGGGCCCAUUAGGCUAACAAGGCCCAUUAGGGUUUCAAACAUCCCAAUCGAGUCAACUCACAGGACAAGCACACCGCCACCCGACACGGCGGCCGGGGGGGGCGGGGGGGGGCAGGGGCCCCCCCCGNUUGGUUUUUCUUUCAUUAAUCCAAUUUGUUACAGUUACAAUGCCCGACCGAUCAACAGACGCACACCCUAUUCUAAUUACAAACACAUACACACGAAAAUACACCCACCCAUAGUGGUACAUGGUGGCAGCCACCACCUCACGGUGGUGGCAGUGGCGGUCUUCCUCACUUUCCAGCCUAGCAUCUCCUUUACAACAUCCGACAACUACAUACAUACAACCCCACGAACACCAAACACAGCUAGCACACCCGAACACACACCCAAAACACGCACACAGCCACCUUCCUCAUGGUUACCGGUGGCAGCAAACGAAGUGACAAGGCGCCAGCCACCAUGGAUGGCAGCCAUGGUGGUUCUUCGCGGUUACCAGACAACAAGCUAUCAUAGCGCACAAGGUCCAAAAGUCACUACCCACCAGGUGGCUUAAUGAACGGUGGAAAUGGCACCUUAAUAACCGGCGGCGGCGGCAACAUUAACGGAAACUGGGCGGCUAAAGGUGGUAACAGCAGCGGCGAUAGGCGGCUUGGGGCGUUGCACUGAAGAGACAACGAAGAGACAUGGGGAGAGAAGGUUACGAUGGAGGGACUGAGCCCGCUGAUGGUCUUCGCCGACGGCUAAAUACCACGACAUCCCUUGGUGGUUUCCGGCAUCUACAAUGGAGGAAGAGGUAGCGGCGCCAGAGGUGGAGUAAGUGGGAGUGGCAGCUGAAGGAGAGCAUGAGGGUAGUGAAGUCGACGGCUGAGAGAAAAUGAGUUAGGGCUAGCGUUUUCUUAACCCUUUAUACCCGACUCCAUUCAAAUGUUUUCCAUAAUGGCAAUAAUAGUCCCUCCAUGCCCUUUUUUUUAUUUAAAUGCAAUCCACAUUUUACCUUUCUAACCCCUCCUUCUAAAAUUCUUUACAAAUCAACUCUAUAGGUUAUCAUUUAGUCCCUAUCCUCCAAAAUCUCUUCAAUUUGAGUCCUAUAAUUACCAAGUCGUCCCUGCCCUCAUAAUUCUUUACGGAACCCAUUCGAAACUUACACUUUUAACCCCGACUUCUAAAAUUGUGACAAUUAGCUCCUCGAGACCAUCCUUUGAUAUAUAAUUAUUUAUUUUAGGCUACCAAUCGUUCAUUAACUUAUUUAUUUAACUAAUAAAUAAACGGGUGUUACACCUCUCCCCCGCUUAAAUUAGAUUUCAUCCUCGAAAUCACUCCUUACUAUUUCUUAUAUGCCAAACCACUUCUAGUAACAUGAUCAACGUCUUGGGCACACCCUAGCCUUCCCAGGGUAGCUAUGACCAAUCUUCGCAAAGCCCUAAUAUCCUCAUGUGAACGAAAUCCUCACAAUAGGAUCACAUCUACUUCAUCUGAAUCUACUAUCUCGAGAUGGUCUGAUUCCCCAACAGACCACUCAUACUGAAUCAUUAUCAUUGAAUCCAGUCCGUUCAUCCCUCAACAUGCUACUCAACUUCUAAUAGCUUUAGGUUCUCACUAUAAAAUAGGUUCACAGACCCAAUUAUCCCUGCAGAUCACUUAUACUUAGCCAAGGUUCAGCUGAUCCCGCUGUGAGUGACUUGUCACUUCACAAAUCAACUAGCUAUUCUGUCCGUACUUGCAACCUAAAACACAAAUACUAAUACUGCCCAAACACUGAAACUGCCCGAACACGGAACUGCCAAAAGCAAUAUACGUUGCUACAUAACUGCUUACCAAUAGCUAUCGAGACCUCCUAGGUCUCAAUUUGCUUGCCAAUUCUCUAAAAUACUGGGUUUACACCUGGCUGCAGAGCCAAAGGACUCACUACUUAGUCGCCUCACAUGACUUCUGAACGAAAUCCUUCUCUAGAACUAGUUGUCACUAAUUUUCAUGCCACUGUGACUCUACUACUUUCUGAUAUGACCAAUCGGGUCCAUACGUCGAAUCCUGUCAUCUUCAAAUCAAAGGCUGAAAGUGAUUGCUACAUGACCAAUGGUAGCCUUAUCUCACAUGUCGUGAAGCAGUCUGUUGCUUCUCUGAUCUUAUAACUGUAGUGGCGCUCCUACAGUCCCAUCACUGGCUCAACCAGAUCUAAUCCAUCUGGGUAAUUCCGAAACCCAAUCUGUGGAUUUCCUUAUCCUUACUGCUACACCCGAACUGGUGGGUACUACUGUUCCUUCUGCGUCCUAACAAUGCGCUCACACUAUCUACUAACCUAGUGAANUAUAUAUAUAUAUAUAUACACACACACACACAUAUGGAUACAAAUUUGAUUACAAUAAAUAUUUAAACAUUUUGUAACAUGUGGAGCAAAAGGGGUAUAAUUAUAUAAACAUACAUAUAUAAUUAUUUAAUUUCGUUUUAUUAUCUUGGUAAAUUGAUAAUAGCAUACAACGGAUUCGCUAUUUCAAUGAAACAUUUAUAUAAACUAUAAUAGGUAUAAUUUAUGGAACAUUCACACUAUUUUACCCUGUUGGGGACACAUAAAUAAUUAUUUAAAAGAAUAAUUAUUGUUACACUAUGUAAACACUAUGAAAGGGUAAUACAUACAAUUACAAGAAAAAGGGAUUUCAUUACACUAUACGUAAACUGAUUAAUACAAGGUUGUGAGACACUAUCUUCACGUACUUUCUAGAGUACACACUAAAGUCCUAUAUUAUAAUCAGAGUCUCUUGUAGGGAGAGUGUAACACUUGUGUAUAGAUCUAUAUGGGACUGAUAAUCCCGCACCUAAACUGUUAGCUACAGUUAGACCGGCAGGUCUGGGGUGACAAAUAUCAUACCAUUCCGAUGCCUGAAGAACGUCGUACAAGCCACUAGUCUCUAGCAUGGUUAUAAUAACUCACAUGGGGUAUUAACGAAUACAGCUGGUUUACGGGGCUAACUUACAUUCAAUCCGUUUUAUUGAAUAAUAAAACUACAUUACACUAUUUUACAGUACAACUAGUAGUUCCUUAUACAUACAUUCAAAGGGUUUUACACAGAUACAAGUACAGUACACUAUAUUUUAGUAUAGUAUAACUUACAUUUCGAGGAAACAUACAUUCAAAUAGUUUAUAAUUAUUAAAACUACUUUCAAGUGCAACAAUAUUCAUACAUUUUAGGUCUUAAGGUAUCUAAGACUAUAAUUCAUUUUACAAGAAAAUAUUGGAUUUUCUGGCAUCACACUUAUUCAUUUUACUAAGAAAAAUGGCAGAUUUCUCAUACAAAUGCUUAUUAACUCACCCACUUAAUUGAUGAUAGUUUUUCAAAACUACUUGUAUUCUUAGGGAAUCACUAAGACAGGUAACAACAAGCUUUUGAAGAUGAGAUGAUAAGACGUCAAUCAAGUCUUAUAUCAUCAUAUUGUAAUUGAUUUUUGAAACAUGUAACACUUACAAAUCAUGUAACUUUAUCAACUAUAUUUAUGAUGGUUGUGUUUGCUUUCAUCUCUAUUAUUCAAUUGUUAUGAUACUGUACAUGACGUCGUCUGCCCCCAAACAUUUCUGCCGUUUUACCGGUUUGGGGGGUGUGACAGAUUGGUAUCAGAGCAUUGUUAAUAGAGAGCUAUGUAUAUCAAACCAUGUAAGAUAUACAACUAUAAAUACAUUUGGGCUAAAACGUUCUGACUAAAAGUAUACUUUUAAAAUAUAAGUGUUUUUAUAAAGUAUACAUACAUGCAUACAUUCUAGAAACAAUAUCAUAGUAAGAACCAUAUAAAAGUAUUUAGAUAAAUUGGACACUGAGGUUAAGCCUAGAUAGUUAUGUAAGCAUAUUUGGGAUACAUAUAGCCAGAUCAACUAUGUUUAUUCGAGAUACGACCAACAUGUGUUUAGGAAUGGUCAAGGUGAACAAGUCUAAAACUUACCAACACUCUAUACAAGGAAACUCUAGAACCUAACAUAAAGUUUAAAAUACUAUAGGAGUAUUUUAUGAUACUAUAGAACUAUACAAUUAGGCUCUUUAUGUGUCUUUCAUACUAUUACUCUUGUACAGUCGACAUAAACAGGCCUAUAGUUAAGAUGUUCUAAUUCGAUAACAUCUUUAAACCUUAUGGCAGAAAUAUGCCACCAAAGAAGUCAAACAGGAACAAAAACAACACCCCAAUAACUCCACCAUCGCCACCACCUCCACAAAUGAACAUUGCCAUCUUCCAAGUUGUGGUAACAGCCGCUGUGGCGGCCGCUAUGGCACAAAUCAUCAUGAAUGGUGCCAGUGGGAUGGGAGGUGGUACAAGUAAUACUAACCAGCGGCACCCGAGGGAAUUCUCCUAUAAAGACUUCACAAAUGGAAAACCCAAAUCCUUUGAUGCGGCGGAGGUGUCAUUGCUCUAACACGUUGGUUCAAAAAAGACAGAAUCAAUGUUCGAAAUCUGUGUGUACCCAGAGGGAAGCAAAGUCAAAUUCACAGCCUACACAUUCAUGGAUAGAGCCCACUCCUAGUGGAACAAAUAUGUCAAAUUGCUGACUCUCCCAGUGGCCAACGCCAUGAGCUGGGAAGAUUUAAAAAUUCUGAUGCUAGCAGAAUACUGCCCGAUGGUCAAGGUACAAAAGCUAGAGCAAGAGCUCUGGAAUAUUACGAUGAAGGACUCCAACAUCGCCGCCUACACUGCCAGAUUUAGUGACCUAGCAGUACAAUGUCCCGGGAUGGUUACCCCAGAAAGCAAAAAGGUGGAGCGAUACAUCUAGGGACUAUCUCCCCAGAUUCAAGGAAAUGUGAUAUCUGAAAUUCUUCCCCUUUUGACAGUGCGAAACGCUUGGCACAAAUACUUGUGGAUCACGGAGUCUGCUAGGGCUUUAUGACAGCUACUCCCGAGCAAACCAAAGGAAGUGAUAAUAAGAAGAAGUUUUGGAAAAAGAGGAAGGGCCAGUCGACACAAGAGCCCACAAAGAAGUAACAAACUAUGGAAGUCCACACCAUCACCACUCCUACACCAACAAAUACAUAUGUCGACACUCUCCCAAAAUGCAAUAAAUGCAACUUUCAUCACCAUGGUGCAUGUCGAGAGUUGUACUGUAAUAAUUGCAACAGAAAGGGGAACAUUGCCCACUUCUGUAAGGCACCGGCACAACAAACCACUCAAGCCGCUAAUACCGGGGUAAGCCAGGCUUGCUACAGAUGCGGUGAAUUGGAGCAUUUCAAGAGGGAUUAUCCAAAAGCAAGGAAUACCGGGGCGUGGGAAGAGUUUUAACCAUAAGGCAUGAAGAGGCCAUGAAUAAUCCUAUCAUGGUAACCGAUAUGUUCCUUCUCGAUAAUUCUUAUGCAUGCGUACUUUUCGAUAGUGGUGCGGAGAGGAGUUUCAUGAGCCACAAGUUUAAACACUUAAACAAAAUCCCCAAUCACUAAAAGACACGUUCUCCGUAGAAAUGGAAAAUGGUAAGACAGAGAGGACUAACAAUAUAUACAUAGGAUGUAUCCUCACUCUAAACAACUACUCUUUGCAAAUCGACCUAAUGUCGGUCACAAUAAAAAGUUUUGACGUCAUCAUUGGCAUGGAUUGGUUAAAUCCUCACCAUGCUGAUAUCCUGUGUUAUGAAAAAGCCAUUCGCCUAAAUCUGCCAAGUAGCAAAACCCUCAUCAUUUAUGGCAACAAACCCGAUACGAAUCUUCAAAUCAUUUCUUGUGUCAAGGCUCAAAAGUAUCUUCGCAAAGAAUACUAUGCCUUCUUAGACCACGUAGUGGAUAAGAAACAAGAGGUAAAUGACAUCAAGGAUAUUCCCAAAGUUUGUAACUUCCCCAACAUAUUUCCCGAAGAUCUACCAAGAGUACCUAUCGAACACUAAGUCGAGUUUAGAAUCAACUUGAUUCCUGGAGCUACCCCCAUAGCCAAAUCCCUGUACCAUUGAGCACCGACAAAAAUGUAGGAAUUGUCCAGUCAACUAAACGAACUGCUAAGCAAAGGAUUCAUCAGUCCAGGCUUCUCGCCUUGGGGAGCAUGGGUCUUGUUCGUGAAGGAAAAAGAUGGAUCAUUCCGCAUGUGCAUCGACUAACGGGAACUAAAUAAACUCACCAUCAAAAAUCGAUAUCCUUUACCUCGAAUUGACGACCUCUUUGACCAAUUUCAAGGAGCAAGUUACUUCUCAAAGAUAGACCUAAGAUCUGGAUACCAUCAGUUGCGAUUCUAGGAGGAAGAUAUUCCCAAGACCGCAUUCAAAAAUCGCUACAGUCACUACGAAUUCGUAGUAAUGCCCUUCGGAAAAACGAAUGCACCCGCGGUGUUCAUUGACCCGAUGAACCGUGUAUGUCGACCUUACUUAGACAAAUUUGUGAUAGUAUUCAUCGAUGAAAUACUAGUCUACUCACGAAGUAAGGAGGAACACAGUCAGCACUUACGACAAGUCUUAGAAACAUUAAGGGCGGAGAAGUUGUAUGUGAAAUUCUCGAAAUGCGAGUUUUGGAUUUGCAAGGUGGAUUUCCUAGGUCACGUGGUCAGCAAGGAAGGGAUAAACGUACAUCCUUCCAAAAUCAAGGCAAUCGAAAACUGGGCGACACCAAGAACCCCAACUGAAAUCCGUCAAUUUCUAGGCCUCGUUGGCUACUACAGGAGGUUAAUACAAAACUUCUCCAAAAUCGCAAAGCCACUCACCACCUUGAAUCAGAAGGGUGUAACCUUCAACUAGGAAGAGAAACAAGAAUCUGAUUUCCAGACACUAAAACAAGCUCUAUGGAGUUCCCCGAUCUUGUCCCUCCCAGAAGGGACGUAUACUACACACGACCUCAAACUGAGACAGCUUAAGAAUCACGAAGUAAACAUUUCCUAUGCCUCGAGACAGCUUAAGAAUCACGAAGUAAACUAUACUACACACGACCUCAAACUGAGAGCAGUAGCAUUUGCUCUGAAGAUCUGGAGGCACUACCUUUAUGGUACGAAGUGCACAAUCUUCACGGAUCAUAAGAGUCUCCAGUACAUCUUAGAUCAAAAGGAACUCAAUGUGAGGCAACGACGAUGGGUGGAACUACUAAAUGAAUACAAAUGUGAGAUUCACUAUCAUCCAGGCAAGGCCAACGUAGUAGCAGAUGCCCUUAGUCGAAAAGAGUACUCGGGCCACCAAGUAAAGUCAUUAACCAUGACCAUCCAUUCACACCUGUCCGCGCAGAUUAAAGAGGCUCAGCUGGAAGCCUUGAAACUCAAGAAUGUGGCAGGAGAAGCCUUAAGAGGAAUGGAUAAAAACCUUAAAGUCAAGGAUGACAGAGCUCGCUACCUCAUGGAUCGAAUCUGGAUACCGAGAUUCAGUGGAUACAUAGAUGUUAUUAUGAACGAAGCCCAUAAGACCAGAUACUCCGUUCAUCCUGGUUCUGAUAAGAUAUACCUGGACCUCAAGAAACUUUAUUGGUGGCCAAAUAUGACGGCAAAAAUCACUACCUAUGAGAGCAAGUUUCUGACUUGCGCCAAGGUCAAGGUAUAAAGCCUUCGGGUUUACUACGACAACCAGACAUACUCGAAUGGAAGUGGGAGUGGAUAACCGUGGAUUUCAUAACCAAAUUACCAAAGACAACAGGUGGUCUUGACACCAUUUGGGUAAUCACUGACAGAUUAACCAAAUCCGCACACUUCCUACCAAUAAAAGAGACCGACAAAAUGGAGAAGCUAACCAAGAUGUACAUUAAAGAGAUCGUACGAUUGCAUGGUGUGCCAAUAUCUGUUAUCCCCGACAGAGACAGUAGGUUUACCUCACGGUUUUAGCAAUCACUACAGAAGUCCUUGGAAUCAAAACUCGACAUGAGUACAGCAUACCAUCCUCAAACUGACGGGAAAAACGAGAGUCUAUGCUUCAUAGAGGAACCUGUAGAAAUCAUGGACAUGGAACUUAAGAGAACAAAACAAAGCCAUAUACCAAUAGUGAAGGUCUGUUGGAAUGCCAAGCGAUGGCCUGAAUUCACUUGGGAAUGAGAAGACCAGAUGAAACAAAAAUACCCACAUCUUUUCCCUAGUUCAUGAAUACCCACUUUAGAAAAAAUUUCGGGACGAAAUUCCCUCUAACGAGGGGAUAAUGUAACAACUGGUUAUUUUGGGUCAAUAAAAGUCAAAGAAAUUCAAAUAAAAGUUAAUUGUUCCAACAAAAGUAAAAUAGUUAAAAUUAAAUAAUGAAUUAUACCCCACUUUAAGGAUUUUCGGUUUUUGGAAUCAAAAACCACUUUAGACCGAAAUCACUUUCUUGGACCGAGAACACUCUUAGCCGAGAACACUCCUUGACCGAGAACUCCUUGAACCGAGAACCCUAGACCAAAGACUUGGUUCUCGAUUGAUGUUUUAGACCGAAAUCAAGGGAUUUCGGUGAGGGAUAGGCCGAAAACCCAAACCUUAUCUGACGACACACUCUCCUAUGGGAUAAAAUACACAUUUUCCCUCAUUUACGUCCCAAAAUCUCCCAAAUCCUCUCAAAAUUCACAGGAACAUUCAUACAAUCUUCAAAUAUUCAUAAUAUUCUCAACAACAUAUUCAAUUAUUCAUAACCUUUUCCUAGAAACACUUUCAAAUCACCUACAGGAAGCAAAAUUCUUCAACUUAAGUUAUAAGAAACAUUGUAAGUAUUCCUUAUUUAAUUAAGUGUUUUAUAACACUUACAUAUUUAAUUCAACUAAUUUACACACAAUAUCGUGUGUUAAAUACUUGUAGGGUACGAACACGUUCACGUAUUAUAACUUGAAGAUCAUCAUUUUUACUUCGUUGUCCAGCCCAGAAAACACCUGAGGUGAGUUCAUACCCCUACGGUUUUUUAAAAUUUNNNNNNNNNNNNNNNNNNNNNNNNNNNNNNNNNNNNNNNNNNNNNNNNNNNNNNNNNNNNNNNNNNNNNNNNNNNNNNNNNNNNNNNNNNNNNNNNNNNNNNNNNNNNNNNNNNNNNNNNNNNNNNNNNNNNNNNNNNNNNNNNNNNNUAACCCUUUUGUAACAUAUGGUACAAAAACGGGUAUAAUUAUAUAAACAUACUUAUAUAGGGUUUUAUUUAUUUAGGGCUUUUAGGUUAUUUAGGGCUUUAUUGGGCCUAUCAAGCUCACUAGAAUGUCAUCAAACCCAUUAGGGUUUUAUUGGGUCUAUUAGACUCAUUAGGGUUUUCACUAAGCCCAUUUGGCUUCAUUGGGCCCAUUAGGCUAACAAGUCCCAUUAGGGUUUCAAACAUCCCCAAUCGAGUCAACUCAUAGGACAAGCACACCGCCACCCGACACAGCGGCCGGUGGUGGCAGGAGGCGGCAGCCACCACCCUAAGGUGGUGAUUCUUGGUUUUUCUUUCAUUAAUCCAAUUUGUUACAGUUACAAUGCCCGACCGAUCAACAGACGCACACCCUAUUCUAAUUACAAACACAUACACACGAAAAUACACCCACCCAUGGUGGUACACAGCGGCAGCCACCACCUCAUGAUGGUGGCAGUGGCGGUCUUCCUCACUUUCCGGCCUAGCAUCUCCCUUACAACAUCCGACCACUACAUACAUACAACCCCACGAACACCAAACACAGCUAGCACACCCGAACACACACCCAAAACGCGCAUACAGCCACCCUCCUCACGGUAGCCGGUGGCAGCAAACGAAGUGACAAGGCGGCAGCCACCAUGACUGGCGGCCAUGGUGGUUCUUCGCCGUUACCAGCCAACAAGCUAUCACAGCGCACAAGGUCCAAAAGCCACUACCCACCAGGUGGCAUAAUGAACGGCG